UACGGGGGGGGCAAGCGUGGUUCGGAAUUACUGGGCGUAAAGGGUGCGUAGGUGGCGAGGUAAGUCGGAUGUGAAAUCUCAGGGCUCAACCCUGAAACUGCAUUCGAUACUGCCUUGCUCGAGGACUGGAGAGGAGAUUGGAAUUCACGGUGUAGCAGUGAAAUGCGUAGAUAUCGUGAGGAAGACCAGUGGCGAAGGCGGAUCUCUGGACAGUUCCUGACACUGAGGCACGAAGGCCAGGGGAGCAAACGGG
rnacentral:rRNA from 1 species